CCUACGGGAGGCAGCAGUGAGGAAUAUUGGUCAAUGGACGAGAGUCUGAACCAGCCAAGUCGCGUGAAGGAUGACUGCCCUAUGGGUUGUAAACUUCUUUUAUAUGGGAAUAAAUUGUUCCACGUGUGGGAUUUUGUAUGUACCCUAUGAAUAAGGAUCGGCUAACCCCGUGCCCGCAGCCGCCGUAAUACGGAGGAGCCGAACGUUAUCCGUAUUUUUUGGGUUUAAAGGGAGCGUAGGUGGAUUGUUAAGUCAGUUGUGAAAGUUUGCGGCUCAACCGUAAAAUUGCAGUUGAAACUGGCAGUCUUGAGUACAGUAGAGGUAGGCGGAAUGCGUGGUGUAGCGGUGAAAUGCUUAGAUAUCACGAAGAACUCCGAUUGCGAAGGCAGCACACUGGACUGCAACUGACGCUGAGGCUCGAAAGUGUGGGUAUCAAACAGGAUUAGAUACCCGGGUAGUC
rnacentral:rRNA from 1 species